rnacentral:rRNA from 2 species
AGACCCGAAACCCGGUGAUCUAGCCAUGGGCAGGUUGAAGGUUGGGUAACACUAACUGGAGGACCGAACCGACUAAUGUUGAAAAAUUAGCGGAUGACCUGUGGCUGGGGGUGAAAGGCCAAUCAAACCGGGAGAUAGCUGGUUCUCCCCGAAAGCUAUUUAGGUAGCGCCUCGUGAAUUCAUCUCCGGGGGUAGAGCACUGUUUCGGCUAGGGGGCCAUCCCGGCUUACCAACCCGAUGCAAACUGCGAAUACCGGAGAAUGUUAUCACGGGAGACACACGGCGGGUGCUAACGUCCGUCGUGAAGAGGGAAACAACCCAGACCGCCAGCUAAGGUCCCAAAGUCAUGGUUAAGUGGGAAACGAUGUGGGAAGGCCCAGACAGCCAGGAUGUUGGCUUAGAAGCAGCCAUCAUUUAAAGAAAGCGUAAUAGCUCACUGGUCGAGUCGGCCUGCGCGGAAGAUGUAACGGGGCUAAACCAUGCACCGAAGCUGCGGCAGCGAACGUAUCACCCAAGACAACUUUACGGAGUUGACGAUUGACGGAGCGAAGCGACGUCAAAGCGUUCAUUAAAGUCGAGUUGGCUUAGGGAUACGUUCGUUGGGUAGGGGAGCGUUCUGUAAGCCUGUGAAGGUGUGUCGUGAGGCAUGCUGGAGGUAUCAGAAGUGCGAAUGCUGACAUAAGUAACGAUAAAGCGGGUGAAAAGCCCGCUCGCCGGAAGACCAAGGGUUCCUGUCCAACGUUAAUCGGGGCAGGGUGAGUCGACCCCUAAGGCGAGGCCGAAAGGCGUAGUCGAUGGGAAACGGGUUAAUAUUCCCGUACUUGGUGUUACUGCGAAGGGGGGACGGAGAAGGCUAUGUUGGCCGGGCGACGGUUGUCCCGGUUUAAGCGUGUAGGUGUGUGUUCCAGGUAAAUCCGGUUCACUUUAACACUGAGGCGUGACGACGAGGCACUACGGUGCUGAAGCAACAAAUGCCCUGCUUCCAGGAAAAGCCUCUAAGCAUCAGGUAACAUCAAAUCGUACCCCAAACCGACACAGGUGGUCAGGUAGAGAAUACCAAGGCGCUUGAGAGAACUCGGGUGAAGGAACUAGGCAAAAUGGUGCCGUAA